rnacentral:lncRNA from 7 species
AGCUCCCAUGUCAGCAAAGUCAGGAAAUCAUGCAGGACUCCAAGCAGCCUCAUCUACUCCCAGUGCUGUACCAGGAGCCCCAUCACUGGGAGGGCACAGCAAACCCGUAUGCCCCAGGCAGAAAUUCCCAUGAUUAUUUCCAACUCAUUUCCAGGCUGAUGGCUGCUGGUCCUGAAGAACCACAGAAUCACUAAGGUUGGAAAGACUGCUAAGAUCAUCACAUCCAACCCCAGCCUACCCCACCAUGCUCACUAACCAUGUCCAUCACUGUCACAUCUCCAUGUUUCUUGAGCAUCUCCAGGGACAGUGAUUCCCCCACCUCCCUGGGCAGCCUGUGCCAGUGCCUUGGAUGGAAGGCCCUUGGACGGUGACCAAGAUGCUGGCUGUCGUGGUGGUCCUCUUUGCCCUUCUGUGGCUGCCAUACCGCACACUGGUGGUGGUGAAGUCCUUUGAGGACCCCCCCGUACCUCAACAUUUGGUUCCUCCUCUUCUGCCGGAUGUGCAUCUACCUGAACAGUGCCAUCAACCCCAUCAUCUACAGCCUGAUGUCGCAGAGAUUCAGAUCUGCCUUCAGGAAGCUCUGCAGGUGCGGAUGGAAGAGCACGGAGGUGCCCACACCAUGCAGCGUCCCGGUGCUCUAUAGCAGAGCAAAGGAUGGCUCUCAGGGCAGCUCCGAGCAGGGCACCCACCAGGAUGACCUGAACGGUCCCCAUGCACCUGUGAGAAGCAGGGCUGCCAUGCACACACCGGGACCCUGACACAACGCAGGCAGCAGGAGCUGUGCAGCUGUGUGCACCACGCUGGGAAAGUGCCCACAGAAAUUGCUUGGGCAUUGCAACAAGCUUAAGUUAAUACCUCUCCAGGGCAUUUAACAGAACAGAUUCUUGGAGGCAAAAUAAUUUGCUUUUCCUUAAUGCUAAUUUAUUCUUGCGUGUUGAAGCGUUAGGCGCAGGUCAAUGUUCAGCAUCUCUAAAGAAUCUGUAGUUAAAUAUAGCAGUGCAACGCCAUUCUGUGUUAUGUGCAAGUGCAGCUGCUUGUUGAGUCAGGCCAGAGCAUGGGAAGGAAAUGCAGGAAGAGAAGGGCAGUCAAGGAAAACCUGUUGCCAGAGCAGAUUUCCUAGAGGGUGAGCUUCCCCUACCCAAACGUAGGAGGCUUCUGACAUGAGCUGCUCCUCCAGGGGUCUGUUGGAGUUAGCAGGACAAUGUGGCACUUUGUCCUCUCAUUCCAGGAAGAGAUGAAUGCACUCCUCUGGUGUGUUAUUUCCUUCCACCAACACCAAAGGGACCACUCUGCCUCUCCGAUGGAGACUCGUGCAUUACACGUGGCUGAAGCUGGGUGUCAUGAACCUCACCCCGUGCUUCUGUGCCAUUGCCGUGCCAACCAGCCCAAGGACACUUGCCCCAGGCUCACAAGCGACUCUCUGGACUGGGAGUAAAAUGUAAGAGAUCACACAGGAGGCAGAUGCCAAGGCUCCUGCCAAGCAAAACAAGAGGCAGCCACCAGUAACCCUGAAGUGACCGCACACCAUUCUUUGAGCAGCCAGUUCAGCCUCAGCAUCCACCACUGCUUCACAACAAACCAGAGCGUUUAAUCAGAACUUUACCUCUGCUUUGGAAAAGGUCUGUGUGACAUUUCAGAGCGGACACAAUCUUAAAAAACCUUUUUUGUGUCUAUGGGAAAUAACUGCCCUGGGCAAAGAGACCUCAUUCCAUGCAGGGAAGGGUUCAGGGUCUAUUUUGUUUCCGUGUGGUGUGGCUUUGCGUGUGUGAUUAUUAUAUUGUGAAUUAUUAAAUCAUCUAUUCGGGCU